CUGAGACUUUGAGACUGGGGGUCAGCUGUGUUCUGGAUCAGGACACAUUAAAAAAGCCCUGAGUCGUAGUUCAGACCGCACACAGAGAGCCAGGAGCGAGAGGGGCGGUGCCUCUUCGUGCUCUUCCUCAGGAUCAAUAAAUGUGUUGUUGGGUACAAAGUGCAGCAGCUCCGCCGGGCUCUGUGGUCUUCCAGUCAGCAGCAUCAGACUGGACUGUGGACGAGAGGAGUCGGAUCCAGCAGGGAGCCUCUCCUGCCGGUCUGACCCACCACAGCAGGCUCAACCUGGACUCGAGCAGGGAACUUGGUUCCUGGAGCGGAGUUCUGCUAGCGGCGGAGGGGUGAAGUAGUUCCUGGGUUCUUACCUCGGCCCUGUGAGGAUCAGCAGCAGCAGCAGGCUCGGACGGGUCCAGACUCACGCUGUGGUGACACUGAGGGGAACUGAAGAAGAAGCCAGGAGGAUCACGGAAACAGCUGUACAGUCACUUGGUGGGCGUUGUGAUCCCGGAAGCUGGAUCAGCUGUCACGUGGUUUACCGACUGCUGCAGAGCUGCGUCAGGCCGCUGUCAGGUGGUGUGGAUCUGAAUAUCUGAUCCAGUCUGUCAUCUAUGCAUGGAUCCAUAGGCUCUGAGCACGAACAUCACAGAACAUGUGUGAACGUCAGUUGUUUACGUAAAGCGUUUGAGGCGCUGCGUCAGAGGAAACGGCGACAUCUGCUGGUCACGUCAUGACGUUUGUUUACAGACGCGACCAUUAAUUCAAUUAACUACCUGAAGAGUCCUGCACUCUCAGGUUUAGUAAAAGCACAAAAGCACCAAAAUAAACUUAAAGUAGCAAAAGAAUGUUCCAUUUCAGAACAAUGUUUAUUAUAUUACUGGAUUAUAAUUAUUGAUGCAUUAAUGUGUUCAUGGCUUUAAUGCUGCAGCUGCUGAAGGUGCAGCUCAUUUUAUUUACUUUAUAUUCUGCUGGGCAGCUUGUGAGUGAGUGUCCCCCCCCCCCGUCUAUCAGUAACUAGAGCUGUCAGAUAAAUGCAGUGAAGUAAAAAGAGAGAUGUGGUGAUGUGGUAAAUGUCUGAGUUCUCGAGACUCAACUGAACAAAUGAUUCAGUAAGAUUUAGCCUGUCACAAGUCAAAGUUUCCCUUAAAACAAACGAAUCCUGCUGGAAUAUAGUUAUUCUGGAACAUUCCCCAAUCACAAGUCUACGUUUUAUUUAUUACAUUUGCAGGAACUCCAGAAAACUAACGGCCAGUGUGUGAAACCCUGCCUGUGUUACUACAACAAACAGUGCUAUACAUUGUAGAAAUAAUUAGAAUUCAUAUGAACUAGCUGCUCUAAGACUCGACCUUCUCAAAGUCACAUCUGAAGAGACACUUCGCUCCAUGUUCAUGGAUUCUUCACUUCACUUUUCUUCGUCGUACCUCUGAUAAUCAUGCUCUAAGUUUUGGAACCACUUGAGCCCCGUUUUUGUUUGUUUGUUCAGCCUGAAUCUGUUCACAUGCGGUCAGACUGUCCCGUCAGAGCAGCCGAACCAGCAGUCAGCAGCUCCUGUCUGCAGUGGACCCGUGGACGGACAGACAGCUGUCUCUGGAUCACUGCGAGACUGAAGGAAACUUAGAAACAGCAGGAUUCUCAGGCAGGUUCUGCAGCCGCUUCUUCUCUGCUGUCUCAGCUGGUUUCUGGAGGUUUAUUCUGGACGGACGUCAGAGACGAUGACGUCCUCUGGAAGUGCGAGUCUCGCUGAACGAUUCGAUGAGAGUUUCAUGUCUGAGAGUUCAGACCUGACGGAGUUAGGACUCCGAGGAGUAUAUUUGUCUUAACAAGACAUUUAAAAGAAACAAAAAGGCAUUUGAGGGUCUCAGUAGGAGCCUGGGAGGAGUUCACAUUUUACAGUAACAGCUGCACACAUGGUGGCUUGCUUUAAUGUGGGUGCAGUAUAUGCGGGGCCUUCAGGGAGACCUGGAUAUGCUGAAGCAAAAUGGCCGCCUAGUCAUUCGAGCACAGCUUGCCGUCUCAGCCUGAGGAUGACAAUGAUGUUAUUCAUCUCUCUCUCUUUCUUUCUUUCUUUGUGACUUUGAUGUUUGGAUCGGGGCGCGGUGUCUGAUGACUUGUUCUGCGUUUUGGGCUUUAUGUACUUAAUUCUCCGUCAAUAAAGACGAACACACAGGAGCAGGGUAACGUCAUAGAUAUUUAAUGGUUAAACAAACGAUACAGCCGGAGAGGACAGAGAACGACCGAAACAACAGGAAAUAUCAAAAUAACACACACACACACACACACACACACACACACACACA